GUGAAGAAGUUGCAAUCAAGAUAGACAAAUUGGGAUAAGAUUUUCCUACCCAACCACAUUUAAUGCAGAAACCGCCCUUUCAAAUCAACGCUUCUCAAAAAGUAGACGGUUUCGGCUUCUAAGGAACCAAACCCCAUUUCCAAUCUGACGUUCCUUGUCCUUUUUCAUUCCCUGCACACCUUAUUUCAGUCUGGUUCACGCUGUCUCUCCGCCUCCAUUCUCCGCACGAUGAAGUAAGGGACUCCUCCAUACACACCAAAGAGUCCACAGAGCACAUCCAAACAUUCGACUCUGAUGUUGAGAGCUCUCCGCAAAAACUCGGGUAGGCCAAUCCAAGUGCUCCAAAUCUGGCCUAUUCAAAACCUAGAUUACUCCUAAACAGGUCCAGACUUCUAUUGAUGUAGGACACUUUCUAAAGACAUGGUCCACAUUUCUCCCCCACACCGAGGACAUCCUAUAUUCACUACCAAUUUUCUUUGUCUCAAAUUUGGGAAAAUAGGAAUAAAAUUUCUUGCAAUUUUUUAGAUUGUAAUUUUCACUUUAGUUGGAAGCUGUAAGUUCCACAAUUUCUUAUAAAAAGCUUUAGUAGCGGUCUGUAAUGCAUUAAAAUUAGGGCCAAAGUUGCUUGUAAUAGUUUAUAAGCACUGCGGACGAAGAAUUCACCUGAUGAUUCCCCUUGCCACACCACUAGGUCGUCAUGACGCUCCUUUUCCAAGGGAAUCUGUAAUAUCCUGCCCGCAUCUCUUGCUGAGAAGGCAAUAUGAUUUAUAUUGAAACGAGUGAAAAUCGAUAGCGGGCUGGUUGACGAGUACAGAUGAGGAAGGAGCAAGGAAAGCCAAGUUCACAAAUUUAAGACAAGGAACCUUCACCUAUGAACUGUUUUUAUUUUAGCAUAUAAAACUUCUCAAAGUUAUAAAAUACCACUCCUUCAAUAAGCUAUUAAAAAGUAUACUUACCACGAUAACCCCAACCUCUUCCUCGCCCACCACCUCUGCCCCAGUUUGAAUAUCCACCAUUAUCUAUAAGAAAUAAGUGAAGUAUAAAGUGUGGUCUAACUAAAACGCAAAUUUUUGCUUCACAAAUGUAAAAGUUCAAUGAAAAAUGUCAACAAUUAUCAUAAAACUAUUCAAAAUCAA